CUACGGGCUGCACCAGUGGGGAAUAUUGCACAAUGGACGAAAGUCUGAUGCAGCGAUUCUGCGUGGAGGAUGAAGCAUUACGGUGUGUAAACUCCUUUUUUGGUAGAAGACGAAUGACGGUAUACCAAGAAUAAGGGACGGCUAACUAUGUGCCAGCAGCCGCGGUAAUACAUAGGUCCCAAGCGUUAUCCGGAUUUACUGGGCGUAAAGUGUCCGUAGCCUGAUGUGUAAGUCUGUUUUCAAAUACUGUGGCUCAACCAUAGAAAGGGAAUAGAUACUGCAUAUCUGGAAGUUGUUGGGGGUUAGUGGAAUUUCAGGUGGAGCGGUGAAAUGCGUUGAUAUCUGAAAGAACGCCGAAAGCGAAAGCAGCUAACUACAAUAAACUUGACGGUGAUGGACGAAAGCUUGGGGGGCGAACGGGAUUAGAUACCCGGGUAGUC
rnacentral:rRNA from 1 species